AACGAACGCUGGCGGCAGGCUUAACACAUGCAAGUCGAGCGCCCCGCAAGGGGAGCGGCAGACGGGUGAGUAACGCGGGGGAAUCUACCCAUCUCUACGGAAUAACGCAUGGAAACGGGUGCUAAUACCGUAUACGUCCUUCGGGAGAAAGAUUUAUCGGAGAUGGAUGAGCCCGAGUUGGAUUAGCUAGUUGGUGGGGUAAAGGCCUACAAAGGCGACGAUCCAUAGCUGGUCUGAGAGGAUGAUCAGCCACACUGGGACUGAGACACGGCCCAGACUCCUACGGGAGGCAGCAGUGGGGAAUAUUGGACAAUGGGCGCAAGCCUGAUCCAGCCAUGCCGCGUGAGUGAUGAAGGCCCUAGGGUUGUAAAGCUCUUUCACCGGUGAAGAUAAUGACGGUAACCGGAGAAGAAGCCCCGGCUAACUUCGUGCCAGCCGCCGCGGUAAAAC
rnacentral:rRNA from 1 species